AUGGGGUUUCAUGUGCCAGGAGGAAAAUUUUAUCUCAUAGAUGGUGGAUAUGCAAACAUGCCUUCUUUUCUUGCACCAUAUCGAGGAGUUCGGUAUCACCUGAGUGAAUUUAGGAGGCGACACUCAUCUAAUAUGGGCUAUGCCGACCAUAGGGAGCUGUUCAACCAUACCCAUGCAAUUCUUCGGAACCACAUCAAAAGGAGCAUCGGUGUUUUAAAAAGACGGUUCCCUAUCUUGAAAGUGGGCAAUCACUACCCUAUAGAGUCACAAAUCAGAUCCCGGCGGCAUGUGUUGUAUUCCAUAACAUCAUUAGAGCUCAGAGUGGUGACGAGGCAUGAUUGGAUCACCAACCACCGUUAA
rnacentral:rRNA from 1 species